AGUGGGGGAUUCUAAAAAAAGGGGUCGCCGAGCUUAAAAGGUUGAGAACCGCUAGUAUAGUGCAUUAGAAUGAUGAAAUCAUAGAAUACUAAUGGUGAAAUAAUAAAGUACUAAUGAUGCAAUUAUAGUGCAUAAUUUGUGAAUCAGUGCAAUACAAUGAGUUGUGACAUGAUUGUUUUUUUCUCAUGUAGUAAAUAUAUAGAUCAGUGCAUUGGCUCCUGCUUUUAUGUUGAAUUUUGUUAUAUUAUCAAACAACUGUUAGCUUAGAAAAUUAAAUCAAAGAUCACUUGGAACAUUGGCUUUAGGAAAGUUCUGAUGGCUGGCCCCUGUGGUUCUGUCUUUACCUGUGAACCAAUUAACUUUCUUAAUUGACAAAACUUCAUUUUAAAUUUCUUCUUUUUAUGUUUCUUUGUAUCAAGUUCAAAGUUCAUUAUGUGACCUGGGGGAAGACCUCAUCUGAAAACUGUGUCAAGGCUGUUCACAGCUCAUCUACUGCAUUGUCUCUGCCAUCAAGAUGUCCAGUAUUUACAAUGUUUAGAACCACUGGUCUUAAGUCCUAAAGAAAUGAGACUCGUUGAACUAGGAAGUUUUCAUUUUAAACAUUCUAGCCAGCGAUUGCUUGAGCUUUGGAGAGUUCUGCAGUUGAAGGCCUAGACUUGAACAAAAAGUUUAUUUGACUUCAUUUGAACUCGGAUUUUUUUUUUUGGUUUUGUUUUGGACAACUUCUCUAAAAGUGUAAAAGUUUGGUUUGAUCUUAUCUAUACCAUAGCAUUUUAUAGUCAAGUUUUGGUUUUGUUUUGGACAACUUCUCUAAAAGUGUAAAAGUUUGGUUUGAUCUUAUCUAUACCAUAGCAUUUUAUAGUCAAGUUUUGGUUUUGUUUUGGACAACUUCUCUAAAAGUGUAAAAGUUUGGUUUGAUCUUAUCUAUACCAUAGCAUUUUAUAUUCAAGUUUUGGUUUUGUUUUGGACAACUUCUCUAAAAGUGUAAAAGUUUGGUUUGAUCUUAUCUAUACCAUAGCAUUUUAUAGUCAAGUUUUGGUUUUGUUUUAACCAUAGAUUGGAAACAAUAGACUCUCCUUUUGGUCAGAGGCAAAUGUUCAUUUUUUCUCAGAUGAUCUAGAUGUGUGUGUCUCAUGGAUGUGUGUGUCUUAUCAAUGUGUCUCACUGGAUGUGAUGUUGGAUGUAAUGCACAUUUUUACUUGAGACAAAAGUUUGAUUGCUCAAAGAGUUGAAAGAUCUCUCUAUGACCUUGACCUUGUUUGAACACUCCAUGAUAGAAUGCAAUGAGUUGCUCAAGUUUCACACUAUGCUAGACCCCCCAGAACUUGGGUAAUCAACUCGACUCAAGCGUCUCUGUUCCUGGACCAAUUCAUGCCAAUAGUUUUCUAAUAUGUUUUCGUCUUCAUCAGCUUGAACUUUCAUUAACAAACUAUUUUCUGCAAUCACCAGAGUAAUCUUUUAAUGGUUUUAUGCAUACAAACUCACAUACAGGGUAUUGUCAUUGGGAUUUAGAUUCUAUUAAAUAUCUGACAAGUUUUAAAACACAGCUGUCAACGGGAAAGUUGAAUCGGUUAUGGGGUUUGUGAUUUUGAUCUGUCAAGUAAUUGGAUACCAGUUUACACAAUUAUUGGACAAAGUUGUUAUGUAUAAUCUUAAAGGAAUUAAUAAAAAAUUUCUAGACUAUGUACUUAUGUGUUUAUACUUUCUGCAAUUCAUUUCUAUAUACAAGUUUGUGAAUCAGAUCAGUCAAUUUGAAUUGCAGGCAUUAAAGAUUUGACAUUUUUGUACUGCUCUGAACAGCUUUAGAAAGAUCUAGAUCUAGGUUUUUCUACUUGCUAACUGUUCUGACCAGCUUUAGAAAGAUCUAGAUCUAGGUUUUUCUACUUGCUAGUCUACAGCUAUUUAUGUCCUUGAAAUCCAAAUAAUGUAUUUCGCUAGAAAUUUAAAAUUUAUUUUUCUUUGUAAUAUUUGUCUCAUUGAUUUAUAAAGCAAGACCCAUCUUUAUGUUGACAAGAUCUACUUCUGUUUUGGAUUGGAAACGUUUUCUUGGUGAAGAUCUGUGUGGUAGAUCUGUUACUGUUUUUCUUUAAUCUCGAUUUAAAAAGCUAGAUACUUGACAUUUUAGAAUUGGUACUUUAAAAAAAAAAUCAUAACCUAAAACUUUCAGCAUGCAAACAAAAUAUGACUAUGUCCUAGUGAUACAAAGUAGGUCUUAUGUCCCUGAGAUACAAUGUAGAACUUGUGUCUCAGAGGUACAAAGAAGGACUGGUCUCAGAGGUACUGAUUAGGACUUGUCUCAGAGGUACUGAGUAGGACUUGUCUCAGAGGUACUGAAUAGGACUUGUCUGAGAGGUACAUAGUAGGACUUGUCUCAGAGGUACAUAGUAGGACUUGUCUCAGAGGUACAUAGUAGGACUUGUCUCAGAGGUACUGAGUAGGACUUGUCUCAGAGGUACUGAGUAGGACUUGUCAGAGGUACUGAAUAGGACUUGUCUCAGAGGUACUGAGUAGGACUUGUCUCAGAGGUAUUCUGUUCACAACUUGUAACAUUCUACAUCUACAUUUGUGUACGUAUCACGAUCGAACGAGAGUUUUUUUCUUGACCUGUGUAACUACCAACUGACUGCUGCCAGUGAAACUAAUGAUUUUAGUCUCAAGGGUUCUAGGUUAUCGUGUUGUUGGUUUAACUUUAUAGAGAUGACUCUGUGGGCUGGGAGGUGUCUAAGAGAUGACUCUGUGGGCUGGGAGGUGUCUAAGAGAUGACUCUGUGGGCUGGGAGGUGUCUAAGAGAUGACUGUGGGCUGAGAGGUGUCUAAGAGAUGACUCUGUGGGCUGGGAGGUGUCUAAGUAGGAUCAUGAUGGCUUUGAAUGUGUCAUCUGAAAGAUGUAUGAUCUUAUUUUCUUGCUCUUUUGUUAUUCAGACUAGAACUUAUUUUAGAUCGAAGGUUCUAGACAUUUAUGGCAGAAAACAUGGAGAAAUAGGAUAUUUAUAAUGAAAUGAUAGAAAAAAUGGCAUAUUAAUUACUGGUCAAAUCAUUGAAACACUGGUCAAAUUAUUAGGAAAAAAAAGUCAAAUCAUCGGGACACUGGUCAGAUUUUAUGUAACACUAGUUAAAAAUUGUGUGUGUAAUACUUUGAAAACAAAAAUGUUACUAUUUUGUCCUUUGUUUCUUUUCUUUUCUACAUGUUUCUGUAAUCAAAAUAAUAGUUGGAUCAUGAGAUAAUAAAUUGAAACAUUUGAGAUCCACUGUGUAGAAUUGUAUAAUUAAAUAUCUUGAUCUAGUUCGCCAUGUUUGAUUACAUUAUUCUAAGUGUUCCUUAAGCAGUGCAAGUCAAAUUGUAAAAGGAUCAAAUAGCUCUCUAGACAUUCGUACAGCUGACAACUAAUAAUUAUUAAUCUGCUUACAAAUUUCAUUAGCGGAAGACUGGCGCGCCAACUGGUUUUAAAAACUUUACUUUGGCUUGGCGCCGACCCCUUGGUAAAUGACCCAAUCACCAGGUCAGACCUUUUCUCUCGUCUGGCGUUCAUUUUCUUAUCUUAUAAAAUACAAACGUUACUUCAAAAAAAAAAAAGAUGAUGAUUACGUCCUACGCGUGUCCCUAGGUCACUAUAGUCUUACAUGCUAAUCAAUGACUUAAAUUCUGCUAAAUCAUUGGUUUUCUUGUCUGACUCAGGCAACCCAUUCCAUGCUCUAAUUAGCACUAGGGAAGAAGGUGCAGACGUUUGUUGUUACUGAUUGAUUUAGUCGUCUGCAUGAGUCCAGUUAUUUUGAAUGUUUAAAUAGGGCCAUCUCAAUUGAUUUCACCUGCCUUUUGGCUCGCACACUGAAGUGUGACAAAGUUAUACAAUGUUAGUUUGCCCUCGUGUUAUAUUCUCUUGUUUAUCUUUUUUUUUCAUUCAUGUAUCGUGGUCUUUUAAAAUGUCUUUCAAAGUAUUCAUUUUUUUGUACUGUCAACUAUAAAUCUCUAUUUCAUGUGCUUGAUGUAGAUCUACUUACUGUGUUUUAGAUGGCUAUAAAACCACAUGACCUAUGACGUCAUAGCUAGGUAGAGAUGAUACGUAGUGGCCUACUGUCAUUCUAGACUCCUCUCUUUUUAUAUCGAGUGUUGUUCAUUAUCCACUCAUUGUGUGUGUGUGUUAUUGCAUAGCCUCAUGUGAUAUCUUGAUGAAAUAAACAUUCCAGUUCUCUUGA